AGAUUGAACGCUGGCGGCAUGCCUAACACAUGCAAGUCGAACGGGAGUAGCAAUACUCUAGUGGCGGACGGGUGAGGAAUACGUAGGAAUUUGCCCUUAAGUGGGGGAUAACCCGGGGAAACCCGGAUUAAUACCGCAUGACCUCGAAAGAGCAAAGUGGGGGAUCGCAAGACCUCACGCUUUUGGAGAAGCCUACGUCGGAUUAGCUAGUUGGUGAGGUAAUGGCUCACCAAGGCGACGAUCCGUAACUGGUCUGAGAGGAUGAUCAGUCACACCGGAACUGAGACACGGUCCGGACUCCUACGGGAGGCAGCAGUGGGGAAUAUUGGACAAUGGGCGCAAGCCUGAUCCA
rnacentral:rRNA from 1 species